rnacentral:lncRNA from 1 species
UAUCAUGGGAUAUUGGUUUUUCACUACCUGCCAAUAUGGGCUCCAAAUUGACCUCUCAUAUAUUCUACAAGCAGAGAGUUUCCAACCUGCUGAUGCAAUACAAGGGUUUAACUUUGUAUGAUAAAACUACACAUCACAAAGCAUUUUUACAGAUACCUUGUUUCUAGCUUUUAUCACAAUAUAUUCUGUUUUUCACUACAGGCCUCAAUUUGCUCUGAAAUGUCCUGUCGUAUAUUCUACAAUAAGAAUGUUUCCAACCUGCUGAAUAAAAAGAAAGAUUUAACUCUAUAAGUUGAAAUCACACAUCUCAAAGCAUUUUCAGAGACAGCUUCUUUAUAGUGUUUAUUAGGAUUUUAGGUUUUUCACUACAAGCCUCAAUCAAUGGGCUUUGAAAUAUCUCCUCAUCAAUUGUACAAAAAGAGAGUUUCCAACCUACUAAAUCAAAACAAAGGUUUAACAUUGUGAGACAAAUCCACAAAUUGCAAAGCAUUUUUACAGAUAACUUGUUUCUAGUUUUUAUCACGGGAUAUUUGAUUUUUCACUAUAGGCCUCAGGGGGCUAAGAAAAGUCCCCUCUUUGAUUCUACAAAAUGAAUGUUUCCAAACUGCUAAGUUUCCAACCUGCUGAAUCAAAACUAACAUUCAACUCCAUUAGAUGAAUCCACACAUCUCAAAGCAUUUUCACAGAUAGCUAGUUUCUAGUUUUCAUCGUGGGAUAUUCAGUUUUUUACUACAGGCCUCAUUGGGUUUGAAAUGUACCCUUGCAGAUUCUAGAAAAAUAGUGUUUCCAAAGCGCUAAGUCAAAAUAAAGGUUAAACUCUGUGAGAUGAAACCACACAUUGCAAAAGAUUUUUACAGAUAGCUUGUUCUAGUUUUUAUCAUGGCAUAUGUGGUUUUUCACUAUAGGCCUCAAUGAGCUCCAAAAUGUCCCUUCUUUUAUUCUACAAAAAGAAUGUUUCCAACCUGCCCAAUCAAAACAAGGUUUAACUCUGUGAGAUGAUUCUACACAUUGCAAAACAUUUUCUCACAUACCUUGUUUCUAGUUUUUAUCCUGGGAUAUUUGGUUUUUAGUAUAGGCCUCUAUGGGCUCCAAAAUAUCCCUUCAUAGAUAUUACAAAAAGAGUAUUUUCAACCUUCUGAACCAAAACAAGGGUUUAACUUUGCGAGAUGAAUCCACAUAUCUCAAAGCAUUUUCACAGAUAAUUUGUUGUCAGUUUUUAUCAGGGAUAUUCAUUUCUUUAUAAUAGGCCUCAAGGACUCAGAAAUUUCUUAUUUUAAAUUCUACUAAAAGAGUGUUUCCAACCUGCUGUAUAUAAACAUAGGUAUAACUCUAUGAGAUAAAUCCACACAUCACAAACAUUUUCACAGAUAGCUUGUUUCUAGCUUUUAUCACAAGAUAUUCAGUUUUCACUAUAGGCCUCUGUGGGCUCUGAAAUGUUCCUUUGUAGAUUCCACAAAAAAGUGUUUGAAACCUGCAGAAUAAAAACAAAAGUCUAACUCUGUGAGAUGAAUCCACACAUCACAGAGCAUUUUCACUAAUAAUUUCUUGCUAGUUUCUAUGGUGGGAUAUUUAGUUUCUCAAUAUACUCAUCCAUGGGCUUCAAAAUAUCCCUUCAUUGAUUCUUAAAAAAGAGUGUUUCCAAACUGCUAAGUCAAAACAAAUGUUUAACUCUGAGGGAUAACCCACGCAUCACAAAGCAUUUUCACAGAUAGUCACUGGAACGCUGGCCUUUCUGGAAAAGCCACCUUUUUGGUACCCCUCCCCUCAUGGCCGUGGCAGUGGCACAGUGCUGUAUCCUGCCUGGGCUUUGGCCUCUGCUUUGUCCUGCCUCUUGCUCUGUCUCCCCUGUUUCUGAGGGGCCUAGAUGCCUCUCGCUCUCGCUGAAUGUCUUCAACAAUGAUCACAACCCAGUCCGUCAGGUAGACACUUACUGGAGAUCCCUGUCGUGAUCGUUUAUCUCUUUCAACCUGUUUCUGCUUGAUGGGGCAGGAUAGACGACCCUGGAGCUCUUGGCUUCCAUACUUCUCUCAGACAGGGAAGCUUCCUUCCUCUCCGUGUUUCACCUCAUGGGUGGGUGGAUUGCCUGGAAUGAGCGCUAGUCGACCGUGACAGACCUUGUCUUCUAGGACAGGUGGUGUCGCAUUUCCUCUGCACUUCAUGUCUCAUUCGUGAGAGACAUCCUCUCCUCUGCUCCUGGGUGGACUGAGUCUCUGGAUCUUUUGACCAUAACGAAUGUCGGGGAAAGGAACCAAAGGGACUGGGCUGGGGCUGGGGCUGGGUCUGCGGCUGGUUGCAGGGGAGGUUGGGUCAGGGCUACCUGGGCCAUGGAGGGUUGGGGGUGGGGUGAAUUUUGCCAAAACCUCUUUAAUCCUCUGGCAGGCAUUUCAAAAUGUGGCUUGGACUAAGGCACAGGCACCCUCCUCGUUCCCAGGUGUUCUUUGAUUUUCCUUGGCAUUGAUGGAAAGGUCACUCAUUCCCCCCUUCGACCGGGCACAUUCCUGGACACCAUUGUUGGUUUCGCCAUCACAAUGUAUGCCUCCGGUGACACACAUUCACACCAUCUGCUGUGGGAUACACCAGUGCCACGCGUGGUCACAUGGUCUCCAUCUCGGAUUCACCCCUGAUCCUCUUUCUACCAGUCCCAUAAAGCGCGGUCGGCUUUCCGGAGCCCCAGGGCUUUUAGAAGCGGGGCAGGCCACUGCUCUUUCAAAGGAGGAAGGAAGCAGAGGGCUGAUGGAUCAGUGAAAGUGCAGCUGACACUAGGCCUUGAGACUUAUGGGAUUAUUCUGUGCUGCAGCGAGGCCCUACGGCCUCACCAGAUGUAGUGAGCCCAUCCUAUCUCAUUCAGCAGGCCAAAAUGGAUCUGAAGGGGAGUCCUGAGAACACAGCAAGCCUCCUGAAGCUCCCGCUCCAUCGGUGGAAGUCGGCUCAAGGAGGUCCUGAGGACAGGACUCCUGGGGCUUUUGCCCUGGGACAAUAUACCCGGGGCCCCUCUCCCACGCUGCCUCAAAUUGGACCCCGGAUGCAGCCGACUCCGCGGCUGCAGCAGGAGCCUCGCUGCCACCCCGCAGCGCUGCCAUUAUUUAAAGGGGACGCAGCCUGACUGCCAGGAGCGGAGCGCGAGUCCGCCCAGCCAAUGCUCCUGGGCGAGGCGCGAGUGGCUUUUCCCAUCACAGUGGUUCCACGGUUGUCUUAGAAACCAGUCCCCGAGGCUUAGAAAAGCAGGAGCCCUCCGCGGCAGUCCAUGGGUGUCAGGGUUCUGAGGCUCCGGCCUGACCUCUCCACGGGGUCGACGGGAACGUCUCCAGAUGCCAGGAGUCGCAAAGCGCCAAACAGGAUGAGGAAACCCCAGGCGGAGUCCGGGAAAAGCAGCACAGCAUCCCAGCCUCAGGCCUGCCCGGACCGUGUUGGUUGGGUUGACUCUCCCCAAAAGUCGUGCCGCCAUCCGUGAUCUCUAAGACAGGUCGGCCUGCGUGCCCCUGGGCUGCUCUCUCAUCCGAGGGUCGUUCUCGUCGAGAGUAGAAUCCCGCAGUCUCAGGGGUUACCUGGGGGAUCAAGAUGAACCCACUGCAGACGAGGACAAGAGCCCCAACAGGAGCUCUUUGUCCCACAGGAGAGCAGCGGACCCACGUCAGAGAAGAUGCUUGUGUCUUUUCAUGGCUCUUCUCUGAGAAAUGAAGCCACACCACGAUACAGUCAGCAAGAGGAAGCCAGGAAUGAGAGAUGGCAACAAUCCCUGUCCCUGGAACGCUGGCCUCCCUGCACAAGCCACCCUUUAGGAACCCCACCCCUUAUGCCUGUGACGGUGGCAAGGUGCUGUAUCCUGCCUGGGCUCCGGCCUCUGCUCUGUCCUCCCUCUUGCUCUGCCUCCCCUGUUUCUCAGGGGCCUGGAUGCCUCUCGCUCUGGCCAAAUGCCUUCAACAAAGAUGACUUCCCACUCCGUCAGGGAGACACUUCCUGGAGACCCGUGUCGUGAUUGUUUCUCUUUCAAAAAGUAUUUCCGCUUGAUUGGGUAGGUCUAAUGACCCGGGAGCUCUUGGCUUCCAUAGGUGUCUCAGGCAGGGAAGCUUCCUUCUUCUCCACAUUUCCCCUCAUGGGUGGGUGGAUUGCCUAGAAUGAGCUCUAGGCGACCGUGACUGGCCUUGUCUUCCACGACAGGUGGUGUCGCAUUUCCUCUGCACUUCCUGUCUCAUUCUUGAGGGACAUCCUCUCCUCUGCUCCUGGGUGGACUGACUCCCUUGAUCUUCUGGCCAAAAC